ACAACUGACCUUGUUGAUGAAUA
rnacentral:piRNA from 1 species